rnacentral:rRNA from 1 species
CACGUAGGGGGCAAGCGUUGUCCGGAUUUAUUGGGCGUAAAGAGCUCGUAGGCGGUUCGCUAAGUCGGGUGUGAAACCUCCAGGCUCAACCUGGAGACGCCACCUGAUACUGGUGUGACUCGAGUCCGGUAGGGAGGCGUGGAAUUCCUGGUGUAGCGGUGAAAUGCGCAGAUAUCAGGAGGAACACCAGCGGCGAAGGCGGCGCUCUGGGCCGGAACUGACGCUGAGGAGCGAAAGCGUGGGUAGCAAACAGG